rnacentral:rRNA from 1 species
UGAACGCUGGCGGCAGGCUUAACACAUGCAAGUCGAGCGGUAACAGAUCUAGCUUGCUAGAUGCUGACGAGCGGCGGACGGGUGAGUAACGCGUAGGAAUCUACCUAGUAGUUUGGGAUAGCCAUUGGAAACGAUGAUUAAUACCGGAUAAUCUCUUCGGAGCAAAGCAUGGGACCUUCGGGCCAUGCGCUAUUAGAUGAGCCUGCGUUGGAUUAGCUAGUUGGUGGGGUAAUGGCCUACCAAGGCGACGAUCUAUAGCUGGUCUGAGAGGAUGAUCAGCCACACUGGAACUGAGACACGGUCCAGACUCCUACGGGAGGCAGCAGUGGGGAAUAUUGCACAAUGGGCGAAAGCCUGAUGCAGCCAUGCCGCGUGUGUGAAGAAGGCUCUAGGGUUGUAAAGCACUUUCAGUUGGGAGGAAAAGUUGUACGUUAAUAGCGUGCAGCCGUGACGUUACCAACAGAAGAAGCACCGGCUAACUCCGUGCCAGCAGCCGCGGUAAUACGGAGGGUGCAAGCGUUAAUCGGAAUUACUGGGCGUAAAGCGCGCGUAGGCGGCUUGUUAAGCCAGAUGUGAAAGCCCCGGGCUCAACCUGGGAACUGCAUUUGGAACUGGCAAGCUAGAGUGUGUGAGAGGUGAGUGGAAUUUCCUGUGUAGCGGUGAAAUGCGUAGAUAUAGGAAGGAACAUCAGUGGGCGAAGGCGACUCACUGGCACAACACUGACGCUGAGGUGCGAAAGCGUGGGUAGCAAACGGGAUUAGAUACCCCGGUAGUCCACGCCGUAAACGAUGUCUACUAGCCGUUGGGAACCUUGUGUUCUUAGUGGCGCAGCUAACGCAAUAAGUAGACCGCCUGGGGAGUACGGUCGCAAGAUUAAAACUCAAAUGAAUUGACGGGGGCCCGCACAAGCGGUGGAGCAUGUGGUUUAAUUCGACGCAACGCGAAGAACCUUACCUACUCUUGAAAUCCAGAGAAUUCGUCAGAGAUGACUUAGUGCCUUCGGGAACUCUGUGACAGGUGCUGCAUGGCUGUCGUCAGCUCGUGUUGUGAAAUGUUGGGUUAAGUCCCGUAACGAGCGCAACCCCUAUCUUUAGUUACCAGCGAUUCGGUCGGGAACUCUAAAGAGACUGCCGGUGACAAACCGGAGGAAGGCGGGGACGACGUCAAGUCAUCAUGGCCCUUACGAGUAGGGCUACACACGUGCUACAAUGGCAUAGACAGAGGGUUGCGAACCAGCGAUGGUAAGCCAAUCCCACAAACUAUGUCGUAGUCCGGAUUGGAGUCUGCAACUCGACUCCAUGAAGUCGGAAUCGCUAGUAAUCGUAGAUCAGAAUGCUACGGUGAAUACGUUCCCGGGCCUUGUACACACCGC